rnacentral:rRNA from 1 species
UUUUGGGGGGGGCUACAAAAAAAAAAGGGUGGUGUCUUCAAGCGCCGGGAGAGUGCAAGCCCUGUCCGGUAUUUGCCGGCAUUUCUGGGGGGGCACUCUCGGGAGUCCGGCGGGGCAAACUGAGGAGAGGGGGGGUGAUACGCCGGGGGAACGUGCCCUUUACGCCAAGGUCUAAACACGGGUUAGGGUGGGGCGUAAAGGGCCCUGCAAUCGCGGGGAAAAGGGCAUAUCCCCAAAACCGGGCCCCGGUCGGGUUGGUUUUCUUCACCCGGGGGGACUCAAGCACCGUAUUUCUCUUGUUUGAGGGGGAGUAGCCAUAGCUGCUGUGAAAAUUCGGAUCG